GGAGGAAUCUUCCACAAUGGGCGAAAGCCCGAUGGAGCAACGCCGCGUGGAGGACGACGGCCUUCGGGUUGUAAACUCCUUUCGGGGGGAUGAUGAGGACAGUACCCCCAGAAGCAGCCCCGGCUAACUCUGUGCCAGCAGCCGCGGUAAUACAGAGGGGGCAAGCGUUGUCCGGAUUUACUGGGCGUACAGCGCGCGCAGGCGGAGCUGGACGUGCCGUGUGACAGACCACCGCUCACCGGUGGAGGGCCACGGUACACGACAGCUCUGGAGGCAGGGAGAGGGAUGUGGAAUGCCCGGUGGAGCGGUGAAAUGCGUAGAGAUCGGGCGGAACACCAGCGGCGAAGGCGGCAUCCUGGCCCUGACCUGACGCUGAGGCGCGAGAGCGUGGGGAGCAAACUGGAUUAGAUACCCAGGUAGUCCACGCCGUAAACGAUGUGUACCCGGCGCUGGGGAGUGAUUGCGCUCCUCGGUGCCUGCGCUUACGCACUGAGUACACC
rnacentral:rRNA from 1 species